rnacentral:misc_RNA from 1 species
CCGAGUUCUGGGCCUCUGGCCCCGCUCUCCCAUCCUGUGAUGUUACUUGAAAAGUCAUGUUGCCUCCGGCUCCUGCCGGGCGGCAGUCUCAAGACUCAGUGGUAGACUUUGCUCUGAUCGUAUUGAGAAAUCAAAUGA